GCGGCAGUACCCCAGCUGGUAGAGGGACGGGCACGGUGAAAUAGAACGGCAGCAGCCGUUGUCAGUCCGUGUCUAUGAUGUCGCUGGUUCAAAUCCAGCCUGCCGCA
rnacentral:tRNA from 2 species